AAAUUUAUAAAUUAUUAAAUUUAAAAUUUAAAAUUUUAAUUAUACAUUUUUUAAAUUUCAAAAUUUAAAGUUUAAAUGGUAUACUUUAAAUUUCAAAAUUUAAAGUUUCAAAUUUCAAAUUUUAAAUUUCAAAUUUCAAAUUCCAAAUUUCAAAUUUAAAACAUAAAAUCUAAUUUAAUUUUUAAAUUUAAAAUUUAAAAUUUUAAUUUUAUAUUUUGAAUUUUGAAUUUUAAUGUUUAAAAUUUUAUUUUUAAAUUUUGAAUUUUGAAUUUUGAAUUUUGAAUUUUAAAUUUUAAAAUUUUAGAAAUUUAGUUAUUAUAAAUACGAUAGAAUUGUAUGAUAUGUAUCCAAACAGCGUAAAAAUGAAGUUGUGGAAUUUUUUUGUAGUUACAGGAUUCCGUAUUUCAUUUAGACCAAAACCAUAGAAUAAAAAUUCCAUGGAGUUUUUUAACUAUCCAUCCAAAUAGGGCCCAAACCUAAUAAUGAAGAGGAAAGAAAAAAGGGAC
rnacentral:lncRNA from 1 species